rnacentral:tRNA from 1 species
AGGGUAUUAGUUAAAAUUAAUUAUAACUUUUAAAUUGCAAUUAAAAAUUACAUAAAAAAGUGUAUACCUUA